rnacentral:lncRNA from 1 species
AAAAAUCUUGUUAGUAUUUAAAAUGCAAUCGAAUAAUCUUCUCUUUUUUUUUUGGACUUUAGUAAAAUGUUUUAUGAUUAUACCAUUUGAUGUUACAGCAUGUCUGGUAAUAUCAACUAUGAUUUUCACCAAACACCCAACUUAUCUCUUUUCUUUCAAUCUCCACCACCACCACAAUGCACCACCAGCCAUCGCCACGUGGGGUGUGAGUUUAUAGAAUGAGAGAUGAGAGGAAGGAAAUCGAGAUAGCCAACCGCGGUAGUUCUAUGAGGAUGAAGGUAGUUGUAACCAGUCAAUCAACAAUGUCCAGAAAUAGUGAGAUCGGAGUUGUUUUCAGGAAACGGCUCUCUGACGGUCAAGUUAAUCAUCAGAAGACCGGAAAAUGUAGAGAGAGAAAGUGUAGGUUCUAUAUUUAGCUAAAAGUGCGUACCUUUUUUAGAACAAAGGUUCUCCUUAUAUAGCAUAGCUCGUCGAUGAGCACCAAUUGUUGUGUCAGUAGGCAAGUUACUAACCCAACCAUACUUCUGAGGCU